AGAGUUUGAUCAUGGCUCAGAGCGAACGCUGGCGGCAGGCCUAAAACAUGCAAGUCGAGCGGAUCCUUCGGGAUUAGUGGCGGACGGGUGAGUAACACGUGGGAACGUGCCUUUUGGUUCGGAACAACUCAGGGAAACUUGAGCUAAUACCGAAUGUGCCCUUCGGGGGAAAGAUUUAUCGCCAUUAGAGCGGACCGCGUCUGAUUAGCUUGUUGGUGAGGUAAAGGCUCACCAAGGCGACGAUCAGUAGCUGGUCUGAGAGGAUGAUCAGCCACACUGGGACUGAGACACGGCCCAGACUCCUACGGGAGGCAGCAGUUAGGAAUCUUGCGCAAUGGGGGGAAACCCUGACGCAGCCAUGCCGCGUGAAUGAUGAAGGUCUUAGGAUUGUAAAAUUCUUUCAGCGGGGACGAUAAUGACGGUACCCGCAGAAGAAGCCCCGGCUAACUUCGUG
rnacentral:rRNA from 1 species